rnacentral:rRNA from 1 species
CUACGGAGGGUCCGAGCGUUAUCCGGAAUCAUUGGGUUUAAAGGGUCCGUAGGCGGGAAUCUAAGUCAGUGGUGAAAUCUUGCAGCUCAACUGUAAAAUUGCCAUUGAUACUGGAUUUCUUGAAUUAGUGUGAAGUGGUUAGAAUGUGUAGUGUAGCGGUGAAGUGCAUAGAUAUUACACAGAAUACCAAUUGCGAAGGCAGAUCACUAACACUAUAUUGACGUUAAGGGACGAAGGCGUGGGGAGCGAACAGGAUUAGAAACCCGGGUAGUCC